rnacentral:lncRNA from 1 species
CUAAAAGCUGGCCUCUGGUAACGAAUAUUGGCUGUUGGCCUCUGGGUUCUUUAGAAAACUCAUCCAGGGCUUCAGUGAUGCAGUUAAACUGCCAUGUAAGGGCACACUGGUCGGUCCUCAUGAAAGCACUGCUGGAAAAGAUGUGUAAUUAAUGCAUUCUUCUUCGUCAGAGAGUGUUGUUUCUUGUGGCAUCACUUCUGUUGUGUUUUCUUGCAGUGACCCAAAAACCUGGCUGCUUUGGAAAGUGGAUAGUAUUGGCAAUCAAAGAAAUAUGAGUGAUGUUUUGCACCUCAAGACUUCAUUCUGUAAGAUGUAUCGACGGGAUUGCCUACCUGUAACUCAGCUUUGUAAGCAACCUCCUGAGGUUAGCCACGGUGGUAUUACUUCCUUGUGCUUUGCCAGCCCUGCAAGCCAGCCAAGUCUGUUAAAGCCUUCAGAGCACAAAGCACUGAUAAGAUGGAUCCCUAACAGUCAUGCAACUGUGGAAAAUAGCAUUAUCACCAGUGUGUCCUUUGCUUUAAAACCCAACGAGAAGCUACUUCCAUUAAUCCUAUGUUGGCACAGAGCUCUGUGGUUAUCAUUUACAUGUAGAGAGGAGCACAGCUCUGUAGCUGAGCACCAGCCUGGAAGGCUUUCCCUCCUCCAGAGGACUCCAAGCAAGUCAUUAGCUUCUCCACAGCUGUUCCACAUAUGUGAAAUAAAGCCAAGGUGA